GAGGGUGUAGCUCAACUGGUAGAGCACAUGCUUAGCAUGCAUGCGGUCCUAGGUUCAAUCCCCAGUAUCUCCA
rnacentral:tRNA from 1 species